rnacentral:rRNA from 1 species
UACGUAGGGGGCGAGCGUUGUCCGGAAUUAUUGGGGCGUAAAGGGUUCGUAGGCGGUUAUUUAAGUCAGAUGUGAAAGGCAUAGGCUCAACCUGUGUAAGCAUUUGAAACAGAGUAACUUGAGUUAAGGAGGGGAAAGUGGAAUUCCUAGUGUAGCGGUGAAAUGCGUAGAUAUUAGGAGGAAUACCAGUGGCGAAGGCGACUUUCUGGACUUAUACUGACGCUGAGGAACGAAAGCGUGGGGAGGCAAACAGGAUUAGAUACCCCUGUAGUCCCUGAGCGGGCUGG